UCUAAUGGAAAAGGCAGAACUUGAAGAGGAAAGAAGACUUUGCUAUGUUGGAAUGACAAGAGCUAAAGACAGACUUUUUCUUUCAUUCGCAAGAAA
rnacentral:sRNA from 1 species